rnacentral:rRNA from 1 species
GCAAGAUUAAAACUCAAAGGAAUAGACGGGGACCCGCACAAGCGGUGGAGCAUGUGGUUUAAUUCGAAGAUACGCGAAGAACCUUACCUAGACUUGAAAUCCUUAGAAUCCUGUAGAGAUACGGGAGUGCUAGUUUACUAGAACUAAGUGACAGGUGCUGCACGGCUGUCGUCAGCUCGUGUCGUGAGAUGUUGGGUUAAGUCCCGCAACGAGCGCAACCCUCGUGAUUAGUUGCUAACAGUUCGGCUGAGCACUCUAAUCAGACUGCCUUCGUAAGGAGGAGGAAGGUGAGGACGACGUCAAGUCAUCAUGGCCCUUAUGUCUAGGGCUACACACGUGCUACAAUGGUUGGGACAAAGAGCAGCAAUACCGCGAGGUGGAGCAAAUCUUAAAACCCAAUCUCAGUUCGGAUUGAAGUCUGCAACUCGACUUCAUGAAGCUGGAAUCGCUAGUAAUCGUAGAUCAGCAAUGCUACGGUGAAUACGUUCCCGGGUCUUGUACUCACCGCCCGUCACACCAUGGGAGUUGAUUUCGCUCGAAGCCGGAAUACUAAAUUAGUUACCGUCCACAGCGGAAUUAGCGACUGGGGUGAAGUCGUAACAAGGUA